UACGGGGGGGCAAGCGUUGUUCGGAAUUACUGGGCGUAAAGGGCUCGUAGGCGGCCAACUAAGUCGGACGUGAAAUCCCCAGGCUCAACCUGGGAACUGCGUCUGAUACUGGAUGGCUUGAAUCCGGGAGAGGGAUGCAGAAUUCCAGGUGUAGCGGUGAAAUGACGUAGAUAUCUGGAGGAAUACCGGUGGCGAAGGCGGCAUCCUGGACCGGCAUUGACGCUGAGGAGCGAAAGCCAGGGGAGCAAACGGGG
rnacentral:rRNA from 1 species